GGUACCUUGACUCAGAGGUCCCCUGAAAUGGUUUUUAGCCCUGAAGGUGCCCAGUUUGCUGGUGGUGGGGUCCUGUAAAGGCUGUCAGCUGUGCUGAUGCCAAGUGCACCUAGGGGCAUUAGAAAAGGGAAGUCAGAUGUGACAGGCUGAGCCUCCAGCUGAGGUCUUGCAGCAUGGGUCACUCUCUGCUUCCAGGCCAUGUACCAGGACUCAUCCUUCCCUGCUGACUCCCGUUCUGGAAGUAAUAUCUGUUCUCCUCCUUUCUGGAUGGGUUUUGGGGUGUCCAUGUGCUACCUGCACGUGGGAGAAGGCAGUCUCUUGCUUUUACACCUGCUGCAUAAAGGUGUAAAUGCUGUAAGGCCCCUCGUUGCCAAAGAUGCUUCCCAAAGACUGAAGAUGCCAGGAAAGACCCCACAAAGCAACGGGACUGUGAUAGGUGGAAAGCUGCGGUUCUCCCCUUUGUCCCCACCAGCAGCUGGGGCUAGGGUGGCCUUGGGGACAAGGGGACAGGAGGGGCUGGCAAGGGUGCAGGGCCCGGCAUGUCCCGGCCUUUAUCUCCCCCUAGUGCCACCCGCCAGGCUCCUUUACUCCGGUGCUGCGCCGUGCAGAGUCCGGCAGUGCCCUGGGGCAGCCACAUCCCAGAGCAGCACAGGGACUGUGGGGAACGGGGCAGGGCACGCCUGUGGGGCUGGACCCCAUUGGCCACAGGAGUGAUGUCCUGAAAAUCCUGGUCGAGUGAGCGUCAGGAAGAGCCACAACAUCCAACUGCAACAAGGAGGUUGGCAUCAUGGGAGCUGUGGUGGUGAUGGGAGGACAGGAGGUGGUGGAGAGUGAGGUGAUGAAUGUGUCUUUGCUUGGCCUGAAUGGACCCGAAAGGUGACAUUCCCAAGGCUGAAAUGAGGCUGUUCUGGUGGCACUGUCACCUGAGCAAGGCCAAGGGACCCUUGGAGCUGUGACAAUCCUGAAGGAAUAGAACAGGGUCACCCCCUGCCUGUGAGGCCAUGGGGAUGUGCAGCCGUGCUCGAGGCAGCCUGGCCCCGUGGAGCUGGAGAUCACCUUCGGUCAGCAGGACCUUGCUGAGUCCCGAGCCGCUGUCCCUGAGCCAUGUGUGCACUGAGCUGUGCCCAGACUCAGCAGCAGCCGGGGGUGGCACACAGCCCGCGGGGCUCUGCUCCUGAGCCUUGUCCUCUGUUCUCUCCGAGCUUCCCAUCGCCCGUGGUUUGAGCAGGAAAAGGGCAAGAGGCUCUUCCUCACAGACUGGCUCUCCCCUCAGCCCGGCAGGAGGAUAAUUCUACAAAGCUCAUGAGCAAAUUCCACCCGAGCCUUUCAGGAUGCUGUGAACAUCACUGACAGCCGUUGUGAAAAAGUUGGGUCUGGGUUUGUUUCACAAGUGUGAAAUAAAUUUCAAAACUCUCACAUUCAAACCAGCCUGGUAAAUUGCCCUAAACGAGCACCAAGUGUCAUCUUGUGUGGAUGACAGAGGAACCUGGAAUGCAGCUGAGAAGCCUUUGGACAAGCAGGAAGAAGUGGGCUUGGGCCAUGGGGAGUGGAGCUGACCUGGCAGAGGGGCCAAAUGGGCUGAUUUAACAGAUGUGAGCAUACACUGGAUGUGGAGGAGCUGGGGACUGAGAUGAGGUGCAGUAGUUUGUCAGGCCCUGCUCCAGGAUGACAAUGAUGGGACCUCCAGGCUGGGUGAUUGAGAGCUGAUCUGGCUCCACUUCCCUGGUUAGCACAAGGCUGGGAUAAGCUGAUAUAGGGUGGAAGAAAAGCAGGAAAAAAAAAGGAAUUUCUCAUCUUAACACCUAAUGUGCUGCUGGCUUAAGACAGGAAGACAAGCGACCUUGGCUGAUCUAAGACAGAAGCACAGAGCACAUCGACAGCCAAGCCAUGAAACUCCUCCGCAAGAAUGAACCAUUAAUGGAAUUAACCAUGGUGCCCAAGGUGGACAGCUUGGGGUGAAAAGUUAAUCCUGAUAUAAUUAGAGACAGCCUUGUAACAGCAAAAUUGUGGAGUCACAGGUCACAGCGUGAGAUGCCACCAAGACCUUGCAGUGUGUCAAGUCUUGCAGGAAUGGGACAGGAGUGAAACAGAAAUCAUCUGCAUCAUGCUUCAAAGGAUGGAGCAAUGUCCUGAGAGAGCUGGGGAAGGUUUCUCUGUCCACCCCAUGAAGUGUUUGGCCUUGAGGAACUCAGGCAAGAAUAUCAUGUCCAACCAAGCACACAAAACCCAAACAAAUUAAAAUGCAUCUGGACUGAUGUGCAGUUCCCUAUAGGUACUGGAAAACCUUGUCUCUGUGAUGCCAUCAUGGAAUGAGCAGAGGACAGAAAUGACACGGGAGAAAUCUGGAGACACCUUUCAAGGGAUGAAGAAUCAUCCAACCCCUCUGGUUUGAAGAUGCUGACAGGCCACUGCUCUGAGCUGUGUGGAGGGAGCAGAACGAAUGGAGGGAAGCACGAGCCCUGGUGGGAAGGAUGAGGUCUUGCUCCAAGAUAAAGGUUCAGGCAAGAGCUGGAGCCUGUGUGAAUUUGGCAGAGGGGAGUGUGAGCAGUGCUCACUCCUGAGCUCACAGCUCAGCACCCAGGCUCAGACUGAGCAUCUGGCAUUCAGCUCACACCAAGCUGUGAGCAGCAGCACCUGAAGAGCUUGUGAAUGCCCUCUCCUACUGGUGGUGCAAUGGGAAGGCCACAUCUUUAACCAGGGGACAAGGCAGGGAGGGGGGAAACACUGAAAUCUUCCCAUCUCAAGUGGCCAGACUGUAUCUAUGGGCAUCCCACCUUUCUCUGUGCUCAGGGAAGAGAUCUUUCACCAUAAUCUGCAGCGGAAAAAAUGUUCUGUGUCUUUUUUUUGGCCCAUGUUGGCUGAAACCGCCCAUAAACCACUAAUUGCCGCUGCUAAAAGGGAGCUGGCAGACAUGAAAUUUGCCCAGAUUACCCAGAUUACUAUUUUAUGGGUAGAAAUAUGAUUUCAAACUGACUGUGGGGCAGGUUGCAAACUGGUGUCAGAGAGAUGAAAAACCAUAAUGUCGCAGAGCCCAAAGACAGACAUUUUUUGUGGCAGUUUACUUUAAAAAUAAAGCAAAUGGACUGUUGUGUCUCAGACAAAGUCUGAGAUUCGUCAAGCAACAACCUUGAGUGAGAGCACAAAGAUUUAUACAGGUUUUUCUUAAUAGUUUGUCAGGCAUGGCAAAGUUACAGGCUUCACAUUUGGGACUUAAGAAAGAAGGACCCCUCAGAGUGACAGACUCAAUUAUGCUGAUGACAGAAGACACUGUUUUUCCUGAACUGCUGCUCUUGCUUUUGUGAGAUAGCCUUACCCAUUACUUGGGGGAUUCCUCCACAUCAGAGUUAGAUGGUCCUGACAGAUGAUGGGCAAGAUUCUGAGCAAUUUGCUGAAAAGUCCAAGUCUGCAUCCAGUCCCCACGAGACUCUGUUCAACAAGUAGGUAGGAAAUAGCUUUACAUUAAUGAAUACUUAAUGAAAAGGAGAGCAGAAUCAGAUCUGAUUGCUGCUUGUGGGGUAUCGCCCACAGAACACGUUUAGCCACCUGCAAAUACUCUUUCUGCAUGAAAUGAAGCAAGGAGACCCUUUGAGCCGUGUGUCAAGCUCUGUAGCCCAAGGAGGCAAGAGUUUGCAGAAGUUCACAGACACGCAGCUAAACACAAACAGUGCUGUGAUUGCGGUCCCUGGGUUACCACCACUUCCUGAACACCACAGAAUUCACACACACAAUGAAAAUCAGAAGCCAGAAACAGCAGUUAUUUCACAUAAAAUUGCUCCACAAUCCCAUGAGUGCAGGGUGUGUGUAACCAGACGUGCCUAGAGAAAGAAUAGGCAGCACCUUCUGCAGCAGCCGGGAGGAGAGGAGGCAACAGGCCCUGGGCUUUUCUUCUAUCCUGGAAGAGCUUUGGCAGCACAUGGGAAUGGUAAGGCCACCUGGUUCUGGGACAUAACAUCACCAGGAAAAACAGACUCCCAUUCCCAAUGAGAACUCCUCUGAUGGUGCCACAGUGACUACAAGUUACAGGGCAGAGCUCCUCAGAAGUUAUUCAAACACUGCUAAUUGUUUGGCUGUAAGGUUUUGAGGUCACAAGCUAUAGAAAUGAUCCUUCCAUGUUUUGGGUGGGGAAGGGAGGUAGGACCUCAGGAACUGUGUCUUUAAGCAGCUUAGUUCUGGAGACAGGAAGUCUGGCGAUGGGCUGCAGCAGUGCAGAUUUUAUUAUGCAAUUUCUCUUGGAACUAGUCCCUGAAUAAAGGAGUUAUCCAUUAAGCACCUGCUUUGCCCUCCCUCCUGAACACCACAAACGAAGGUCUCAGGAAUCCUUUCAAGAGCUUACCCAUCAGUGGGGGAGCAGGGAGCCAUGCACUGGGGUCCAGACUGGUAAUAUUGAUGUGUUUGGUUUAUAGUGUCUUUCAAAGGGUUUCUCUUCAUUAAAUCCUCCUACUCUGUUUGAGCUUGUUCCAUGUUUGGCAUUACUAGUGUACCAGUGGCUGAGGCCAUCUAAGUCUUGCAAUACUGAUCCAAAGGGCUGUGGUACCCAGGCUACUCUUAGGCCCUCAGGAUAUUUAAUCAUAGCCCUCUUUCCAAAGGGUAGCCAAGGUCUUCCUCUCCCUCCCAUCAUUAACCUAUCAUUGCUGUUCUGAUCCCAUGGUAGGGGCAGCUGGGGACAUUGCAGCACGGAGAAGGUGCAGGACACAGUGGAAGUAGGAUCCUCCUCCUCUGCCCCUACUGCCUGUGGUAAAGGAUUCCCUCCCUCCAAAGCAUCUCCUUUCCCUCCCACUCUGCUCCUGGGACUUGCAGCCCCACUCUGACUUCACCAACGUGGCAAGCCUGGCACUUGCUGUAAAGACAGAGGAGCUCUCCCAGCUAAUCAUGGCCUCCAUACAUCCUCUGCCUUUCUCCCAACAGUGGGUACAUGGCAUUUCCCUCAGAGGCACUGACACAGCAGCUCCUGUCACAGCACUGGGGCUGUCAGGGCCCCUGCCUCAGCGGCUGUGUGCUCAGGGCUGCAGUACUGGUGUAACACGGGUGUGUCACCCAGCACCAGGCAGCAUGAACAUCCUCUGGAGAGGGGCAGUAGCUGUGGGACUGCUCAGGAUCUGUCCCCAGUGGUAAACUCCAUCCUGACUUUAUCCCAGAGCUGCAGAGUUCAUGCAGCAGCAGGGAAAGGGGUCAUGAGGGGAGCAAAGUGCUACGGAGAGCUCCUGGUGUCAGCCACUCCUGCAUAUCCAUAAGUGAUGCCAUUGUAGAAGUACAGACUCGUUUGGGUUUGAGGGAUUUUAAACAGCAGCUCAUUCCACCUUCCUGCCAGGGGCAGGGACACCUUCCACUAGCUCAGGUUGCCCAGGCCGUAAUGACCAAGGCAAGCACAGUGAUCCAAGAUGCAAUUCAAAAUACAUCAACCAAACUUGUUAAAAAGUUCAAGCAGGAGCCAGAAAAAGACACUGCUGUCCUCAGCUGUGCCUUAGAGUCUGACCUGACUCCCACUCCUCACCUCCAACAGCAAAACAUUUUCCUUUAACCUAAACUGGGAUAAAUGCUUAAUACCACAGUAAAAUGCUGCUGGAUAAGAGCUGCUGCUUUUACAUCUAGAGGCACUGUGAGACACUGAACCUGUCCCACACUGAAACAGAUGCAAACUCACUGCUUUGGAAGGAAAUUAAAGCAGGCACAAGCAGAGAGCCCUUACUUGUGUAACUAACGAGUAACACAGUGAUAGAAGCAGAGGUCUGACAGAGACCUCCACGUGAUUACAGCCAGACCAAGGACAGGCACCAUGUAAAUAAAUACAGAAUUUGCAAGUAAAUGUAAUGAAAUUCAUGUAAAUGUAGAAGUAAAUGUAAUGAAUUCGGGUUUUGCAGUAAACAAAAGGCAGACUUAUUCUUUGCAAAGGAAUCUGUCAUUAUAGAUCUCCUUUAAACCAAUAAAUUA